GUCUACGGCCAUGCCACCCUGAACACCUGAACACGCCCAGUCCCCUCUGAUCUCAGAAGCUAAGCAGGGUUGGGCCUGGUUAGUACUUGGAUGGGAGACCACCUAGGAAGACCAGGUGCUGUAGGUG
ensembl:rRNA 5S_rRNA 5S ribosomal RNA